rnacentral:rRNA from 1 species
CGGCAAGAGCUCAAAUUUUAAAUCUGGAUCCUUCGGAUUCCGAGUUGUAAUUUGAAGAGGUAGCUUCGGUUGCGGCCUUGGUCUAAGUGCCUUGGAACAGGACGUCGUAGAGGGUGAGAAUCCCGUACACGGCUGAGGACCCGCUUCCAUGUGUAGCUCCUUCGAA